UACGUAGGGUCCGAGCGUUGUCCGGAAUUACUGGGCGUAAAGAGCUCGUAGGUGGUUUGUCGCGUUGUUCGUGAAAACUCACAGCUCAACUGUGGGCGUGCGGGCGAUACGGGCAGACUAGAGUACUGCAGGGGAGACUGGAAUUCCUGGUGUAGCGGUGGAAUGCGCAGAUAUCAGGAGGAACACCUGCGGUGUAGACGGCUUACUGGACCGUAACUGACGCUGAGGCACGAAAGCGUGGGUAGCAAACAGG
rnacentral:rRNA from 1 species